GAUGAAGAACGUAGCGAAAUGCGAUAAGUAAUGUGAAUUGCAGAGGUCAGUGAAUCAUCGAAUCUUUGAACGCACAUUGCGCCCGUCAGUAUUCUGACGGGCAUGCCUGUCCGAGCGUCAUUUCAACCCUCAAGCACUGCUUGGCGUUGGCGGAUUGCGUGCCCUCGCGGCGCUGCAACCGCCCAAAUACAGUGGCGGUCCCGCUGCGGCUCCCUUUGCGUAGUAACUCACCUCGCACUGGACCGGGCGGCGGCCUGCCGUAAAACCCCAACUCACGAAAUGUUGACCUCGGAUCAGGUAGGAAUACCCGCUGAACUUAAGCAUAUCAAUAAGCGGAGGA
rnacentral:misc_RNA from 1 species